rnacentral:tRNA from 1 species
UAGAUUAAAGCUCGCUGGAUAGAGCGUUUAGCUGUUAACUAAAAGAUCGCAGGGUUGGAGCCUGCUAGUCUAG